rnacentral:lncRNA from 1 species
CCUAAUUGAUGGGUUUAGAACCUUUAUUUAGGUUGGAUUUGAAGAACUCUAACUCUCAUUUGGAGCUUGAGAGAGGAUUUCUUUACCUAGGUGAGUUUUUCUCCACCUUAGCCUAUGUUGCUUAUUGAUUGAGCUUAGGGUUGAUCGUAAGGUUUGUUUGACCCUUGUUCCUACAUCUUUAGGGUGCUAGGAGACUCGUGGACAUCUUCGUCGGAUCUUACGAAGGGUUUCGGUAACUUCGGUGGGUUUGACUUCAUGAAAUCGAGGCAAAAUAGCCCCUAAGUAUUCGAUACUUGUCGUAACGCCAAUUCGAUUGCAUAUUUAUGUUAAAUGAGAUUUAUGUGAAUUUUAGAACACUUAAAUUGCAUGCCUUAUGUAUCAUAAAAAUUUCACUCUAUAUAGUAGGGCAUUCGGGGCAUUUUUGCAUGCAUAUGAGGAGUGUUCGUGUUAGCGACUUGGAAACGUGUCUCUUAUGUUAGAGUUUACUCAAAUUAUGCAUUUGUAAACAAUAAACUCAUGUUUGGACUUAGUUGACAAAAAGCCAUAAAGAGGCACUUGACAUAGUAAACUGUGAAACUGCAACAUAGAGACAUAGCAAUAGGCCAUUGAACAUCUUCUAUAUUCGAUGUUAGAGACAUGAUGAUAUAGAGAUAGGCCUUUGAGACAUUCGACGUAUAUUUCAUGUUUUUAGACAUGAGGACUUGGUACUUGAGACAGAUUUUUCGCUUGCUUGCCAUUGUGCUCAUUCGCACAUUCUUGUGAGGGUCGCUCCUACAAGCCGGCACUCCGGAGAUAGCCAUCGCGACAUAUGCUCGCUCGUGCGGGAUUGGGCGCCGAAAUGGGAUGCCGUGGGGAAGGCUCAUUCCUAGAGUGGGGAUGUUGACUACCACGGGACCAUUAGGCACGACGCAGGUCAGACAGCCUACGGGUGGGUCUUAUAUGAUUGGAACUUGGUGACAGAACAUGCCAUUUAGACUUUGACUAGAAUAGUAAACAAUGACAUUUUACUAUUUAGCUUGUGGACAUCAUGCUAGUGAUACCUUGGUACAUUCAUGUUAGAAUAGUCCUUUUUAUUACUUAUGCAAUUCAUGCUAAGUAGAGAUAUCAUGUUGUAGUAAGUUACAUGUUUACUCACAUAUCGAUUCUAUUGCUUUUAUUGUUACUUACCUGUUUAGCUCUUUUGGGCCUAGUGGUGCUUUCACUGAAGUUAGUAAUUGCCCACUGGGAACUAUUAUUUAAUAGUUCUCAUGCCCCUUGUUUUAUGUUUCCUUUUCAGAGCCCGAUGGACCGGCGGAGGCACGGGAUCGCGGCAAGGGAAUCGCUAGCUAGAUAGCGAGAAUUUGCUGUUGCUUAGGUAGUUUUCUCUCUUUUUGUUGUAGUUGAGAGAGAGUGAGGUUUUGUAUCCAUGUAUAGAGACCACCUAUGUAUUUACUUAUAUCUCUUGUUUCGGGUUUCCUCUUGUGCUACUUUAUGUUUUCAUUUAAUGGAUUUUUAGUUUAGGGUUUUUAUCCUCUAUUAUAGCAUCUAGAUAUACUUGCUCUGAUACUUCUAUAUGUUUUCUUUUUACUGCUUUCUUUAUCGUUUUGUUUUAUAUGCCUUAUAUGUUUUAGACAUAUGGCUGGUCUGGACACGCGCCGGGCGGGCUUCCGCUGGGUCCCGGGGCGUGACAGAUUAGUUUGGUAUCAGAGGCUAGGGUUGAGUCUUAGUGGGCCUAGCAAACCUUAGGCCGGUUGGACUAUAGGAAAUAGGCUCGUGAGAGACGAGGUCUAUUUGACUUAUAAGCGAAAGUAUUUUGAUUGGAUAUCUUUGAUAACUCUAGAAAGUAGAGUUAAAUUGAAGUGUAUAGCUCCUAACUUCGCAGAGGGUUACGUUGGCGGCCGACAACGUAACAUCGGGAGUUAGUAGUGAAGCACACUUCCUUACUUUCGCAUGAUUUGGGGUAUUACCUUCUUGAGUGGGGAUUCGAUGGCGUGAGUUUACUAACUUACGCUUUUAUGAUGUUGUAGUGAGAUACUGAUCACUCGCUCCCAAUCUGCCGGAGCGGAUAAUGCGGCAAACUUGAAGGAGGUCGAGACCUCCGCUACCUCCGGAUCUGGCGAGGUCCAAGAGUUGAGGAACCAACUUGCGGCCCUCACCGACUUAGUGACUCAGCAGGCGGAGGCGGCCUGACAGCAGACUGAGGCUGCGCGCCGGCAUGAGGCACGGAUGAAGUGCCUGGAUGACCUUCUUCUGCAGCAGGCGGUAGCUUCCAGGGAGACCGAGGCCCCUACACCGCCAGCUCUGGUUGUGGACGUCGCGCCGAGGGCGCCGUCCCCCGUGCCCAGUUCGUCGCAUGCGGCACCCGUGGCCGCGCCUCAGGAGGAGGCUUUGGCGGCGCCACCUGUUCAGGCGCCCCCGAUUGGAGCUAUUUUUCCCGUGUUGGUCGAGGGAGCGGAGCGAGACCGACUGAUGGAGCGCCUCAACGAGUUCAGAAGGUGCAGUCUCCGGAUCUUCGACGGCGAGAAGGUCGACCACUGGAUCGUGGAGAAGUGGUUGAUGCAUAUGGAGAAACUCUUCCGCGACACUUUCGUGGAGGAGAGGGAUCGAGUUUGGCUCGCCACUCACCAUCUGGACAGCGAGGCCUAUCGCUGGUGGUUGGAUCUUCAGGAGAAUGCCAACACCGACUUAGCGGCCAUCACGUGGAAGAAGUUCAAGGAGCUUCUUUUGGCGCAUUACUUCCCGACCAGCGUUAAGCAGAAGAUGGAGCAGGAUCUGCGCAACUUGCGCCAAGGUGAUCGGACUGUAGCCGAGUACGAGCGGGAGUUUGCUCGGCUUCUACACUGCGUACCUUUCGUCGUGCGGGACGACGAGGACAAGGCCCGCAUCUUCGAGCGAGGGUUGCGACCGUCAAUCUUCCGGUUUGUGCAAUCCUCUAACCUUCAAACCUACCGGGAGGUGGUGGAUCGCCGGCUCAUCGUGGAGAGCGGCGCGGAAGACGUCCAGGAGCGGCAAGAGGCUAUGGACAAGGGUAAGGCCAAGAGGCCUGCAGCUGAGGGUGUGAGCCAGACGCACUCUGGGAGGCCGCCGAAGCAUCCUAGGAGCCAGCAGUGGCUCGGCGACUCACCAUGGAGGUUUUGACCGACGCCGACCUCCCCAGUGCGUGAUCUGUGGUGGUCCCCACAUUCCACCGCAGUGCCCGCAGCGGGGAGGGAGGUAUUUCCAGUAUGGCCAGGAGGGCCACUUUUGGACCAAGUGCCCGAGAGGUUCUUUACCGGCACAGUCGAUUGCAUCGGCACCGGCUCUACCAAUCGCUAGCCACGGGACUCCGUCGACACAGUACCAGCCUGGGCGGCCACCCGUCGAGCGCCAGAGCGAGGGAUCUCGACAGGCCCCGAGUGGGCGUUUGUAUGCCGCUCAGACCGAGAAUGCGGCGUCAGCCGAGGAUGUGGUUGCAAGUAUCAUUUUACUUGAUGGCAUUAGAGUUCGUGCUUUAUUUGAUACCGGUGCAUUGCAUUCAUUUAUAGAUCGGCUGUUUGCCGAGUUGCAUAGCAUCCCUUUGAUUUUUUUGUUGCAUCCGGGACAUGUUGUAGUACCCGACCACACACUGGAUAUUAGAGAGUAUUGCCCUAGUUGCCCUGUUCAAGUAGGAGAUUGGAUCAUGCCCGUAGAUUUGCUAGCUCUGCGCAAGCUAGGGAAUUUCGAUGUGGUCUUGGGUAUGGAUUUGCUAACCAAGUAUUAUGCCACGAUUGAUUGUAAGAAUCGCACGAUUACUUUUAGAGAACCGGGGCAAACUGAGGUUGUGUAUAGAGGAUGCCGGAGUUCGCUUUUUGCGAUGUCGAUCAGCUCGUCUCGAGCUAGGCAGCUGAUCAGCCGAGGAUGUGUAGCUUACUUGGCUAGUGUUGUGUUGAGGGGCGAAGAUGACACCCCUAGGAUUGAGGAUAUUUCGGUGGUACGGGAGUUUCAGGACGUGUUUCCAGUUGAGCUACCGGGUAUGCCACCCGAUAGGGAGAUCGAGUUUGUGAUAGAUCUCAUCCCUGGGACUACUCCAAUCUCGAAGGCACCCUAUAGGAUGGCACCGGCGGAGCUAAAGGAGCUGAGGGCACAGAUACAUGAUCUGUUGGACAAGAGCUUCAUUCGACCGAGCGUCUCGCUGUGGGGAGCGCCAGUUCUGUUCAUCAAGAAAAAAGGACGGAUCACUUUGCCUAUGUGUAGACUAUCGUGAACUUAAUAAAGUCACGAUCAAGAAUAAGUAUCCGCUGCCGAGGAUCGAUGACUUGUUUGAUCAGCUUCAAGGAUCGUGUGAGUAUUCCAAGAUCGACUUGCAGUCGGGACACCACCAAUUGAAGAUCAAACCCAAGGAUGUAUCGAAGACGGCUUUUAGAAUACGGUAUGGACAUUAUGAGUUCACAGUUAUGCCGUUUGGGCUUACUAAUGCCCCGGCUGCUUUUAUGGAUCUGAUGAACCGUGUUUUCAAGCCUUACUUGGAUAGAUUUGUCGUGGUGUUCAUCGACGACAUUUUGGUUUAUUCUCGAAGUGACGCAGAUUACAAGGAGCAUUUGAGGCUUGUACGUCAAAUACUUCGGGAAAAGGAGCUGUAUGCCAAGUUGAGAAAGUGUGAAUUUUGGCUUCGAGAGGUUGCUUUUCUUGGACAUUUGAUUUUGGGAUCGGGUAUAGCUGUGGAUCCUAAAAAAAUUAAGGCUAUCAAGGAUUGGCCUAGACCGACGUGUCACGGAGAUACGGAGCUUCGUUGGAUUGGCCGGUUACUACCGGAGGUUUGUUGAGGGAUUCGCUAAGCUAUCUACUACUCUCACGAGGCUCACGCAUAAAGGUGUCAAGUUCAUCUGGAAUGAGGCAUGUGAGAGAAGCUUCCAAGAGCUGAAGCAACGACUGACGACCGCCCCUAUCCUAACCCUGCCAAUUGCUGGAGCAGAGUAUGUGGUUUACAGUGAUGCAUCUCUUAACGGAUUCGGCUGUGUUUUGAUACAGGACGGCAAGGUGAUCGCGUAUACUUCUCGCCAAUUAAAGAAAUAUGAAAAGAAUUACCCUACGCACGAUUUGGAGUUUGCGGUCGUAGUCUUCGCAUUGAAGUUAUGGCGCCACGACCUCUAUGGCGAGCGGUGUGAAGUGUACACAGAUCACAAGAGCUCGAAGUACUUGUUCACUCAGAAGGAGACUUGAGACAGCGUAGAUGGCUGGAGCUGCUCAAGGAUUAUGAUUUGACUAUUCUUUACCACCCGGGCAAGGCUAACGUGGUGGCGGAUGCACUAAGUAGGAAAUCAACAGAAAACUUAGCGAUGUAUGUUGUUACUUAACCGCAAUUGAUCGAGCAAAUGAAGCGGUUGGAGUUGGAGGUAGUGACUCCUGACACGCCUGUGAGGUUAAUGACUUUGGUGAUGCAACCCACACUCUUGGAUAGAAUUAAAGAGAAGCAAGCUUCCGAUGUGGAGUUGCGAAAGAUUAAAGGUAAAAUGGUUGAUGAUUGCACCGACGAUUUCCUUGUGGAUGACCAAGGAUUUAUGCGUUUCCGUGGACGGAUUUAUGUACCGGCAGAUUCGGGAAUUAAAGAGGAUAUUCUUCAAGAAGCACACCGAGCGCCCUAUGUUAUACAUUCGGGAGGCACCAAGAUGUACAAGGACUUGAAGUUGCUUUAUUGGUGGCCCGGGAUGAAAAAAGAUGUUGGCGAGUUUGUAGCUCGAUGUCUAACUUGCCAACAAGUGAAAGCUGAGCACCGAUUACCCACGGGAAAGCUUCAGAGUUUGCCUAUUCCCGUGUGGAAGUGGGAGAAGAUUACCAUGGAUUUCGUGACUGGAUUGCCUCGCUCUCAGGCCGGGCAUGAUGCUAUAUGGGUGAUCGUGGAUAGGUUGACGAAGUCAGCGCACUUCAUACCUAUUCAUACUAUUUGGACCGGAGAGAAGGUCGCACAAGUAUACCUUGAUGAAAUUGUGUGACUUCAUGGAGUGCCUACAUCGAUAGUAUCGGAUCGAGACACUCGGUUUGUGUCUCAUUUAUGGAGGAGUCUACAAGACGCCUUGGGCAUCCGAUUGGACUUCAGCACUGCUUUCCACCCCUAGAGUGAUGGGCAGUCGGAGCGCACCAUUCAAACUUUAGAGGAUAUGCUCCGAAUAUGUUUUAUAGACUUCUAGGGAGGAUGGUCGCAGCAUCUACCGAUGGCGGAGUUUGCUUAUAACAACAGUUAUCAAGCAAGCAUCAAGAUGGCACCUUUCGAAGCACUUUAUGGACGGAAGUGUAGAUCACCACUUCAUUGGAGCGACGUAGGCGAGAGAUUGGCUUUAGGCCCUGACGUGCUCCAGGAAGCUGAGGACAAAGUUCGAAUUGCUCGGGAGCGACUUUUGACGGCACAGAGUAGACAGAGGAGCUACACCGACCGACGACGGCGAGACUUGGAGUUCCAAGUUGGAGACCAUGUUUUCUUGAAGGUCUCGCCAACUAGAGGAAUCAAGAGGUUUGGGAUUCGGGGAAAGUUAAGCCCCCGGUUUAUUGGACCAUAUAAGAUCUUGGAACGUGUAGGUCCGGUGGCGUAUCGACUUGCUCUACCACCGAACCUAUCGGUCCUGCACAACGUCUUUCAUGUAUCGGUCCUUCGGAAGUAUGUCUUCAACCCGACUCACGUAUUGGACGCUACACCUUUGGAGUUGCGGGACGACUUGAGCUUCGAGGAGCAACCAGUGAGGAUUUUGGCUCGUGAGGUGCGAAAACUGCGGAAUCGGGAUAUUCCGUAUGUGAAGGUUCUUUGGAGCAACCACGGGGAGCGGGAGGCCACGUGGGAGCUGGAGAGCGCGCUACAGGAGCGCUAUCCCCAUCUUUUUCAGAUGGAGUCUUGAGGUAUGUGUUGGCUUUCGAGUUUCGUGGACGAAACUUCUUUUUAGGAGGGAUGAAUGUAGCACACUGGACCUUUGCAAAUUGCGAGGUUCGAGUGUUUAAUAUGGAUCCCGAACUUUUCCACACUUGGUGGAAGGUCGUAGAUGGUAUUCCGACCUAAAAGUUCGAUUUCUGGAGUUUUGGCUUUGUCCUGAGAGUUUUCACUCUCAGGGACCGGUCCCUGAUGGGAGAGACCGGUCCCCUCAGCACAGUGUCGAGACCAGCUUGAGGCAACCGGUCCCUGGCUGUGAGAGACCGGUUCCCGAACGCGUGUUUUGCGAGAAGGGUCCGAGAGACCGGUCCUUGGUAGGGAGAGACCGGUUCUCGAACGUUGGUUCUGCGGGGCAGGCUGAGAGACCGGUCCCAGGUGUCUUGGAGACCGGUCCCUUAGUCCGAAAACUGCCCAUACCCGGGUGUGCGCAGAGUAGAUAUUUGAGGAACCUAAGUGGAUUUUGUUACCUUAUAGGCUAUAGAGAGCCUCUCCUCUCUCUCUCACUCUUAUUUCCUCUCCCUCACACUCUCCCUACACUUCUAGAGAGAGAAGGAAAAGGAAAAGAAGAAGAAGGAGAGGAGAGGAGCUUACUUUGAGGCCUUGGAGCAUCAUCUUCUUCCUCAUUUCUCACCUUGGUGGCUUGGAGCUUGCGGUUGGAGCCUUAUGGAGGAUCAAACUCCAACCCUUCUUGGUUUAGAGCUUGGUUUGGAGCUUCUCUUGAGGUUUGUAGCUUGUAUUCCCUAUUUAAUAAAAGUUUUUCUAGAUUUUACUAGAUAAGACCCUAAAUUUUGGGAUUUAGAGUUUACUUUGGGAAUUUUUGAUUUGAGGGCUUUGAAACCUAAUUGAUGGGUUUAUAACCUUUAUUUAAGUUGGAUUUGAAGAACUCUAACUCCCAUUUGGAGCUUGAGAGAGGAUUUCUUCACCUAGGUGAGUUUUUCUCCACCUUAGCCUAUGUUGCUUAUUGAUUGAGCUUAGGGUUGAUCGUAAGGUUUGUUUGACCCUUGUUCCUACAUCUUUAGGGUGUUAGGAGACUAGUGGACACCUUCGUCGGAGCUUACGAAGGGUUUCGGUAACUUCGGUGGGUUUGACUUCAUGAAAUAGGGGCACAAUGGCCCCUAAGUAUUCGAUACUUGUCAUAACGCCAAUUCGAUUGCAUAUUUAUGUUAAACGAGAUUUAUGUGAAUUUUAGAACACUUAAAUUGCAUGCCUUAUGUAUCAUAAAAAUUUCACUCUAUAUAGUAGGGCAUUCGGAGCAUUUUUGCAUGCAUAUGAGGAGUGUUCGUGUUAGCGACUUGGAAACGUGUCUCUUAUGUUAGAGUUUACUCAAAUUAUGCAUUUGUAAACAAUAAACUCAUGUUUGGACUUAGUUGACAAAAAGCCAUAAAGAGGCACUUGACAUAGUAAACUGUAAAACUGCAACAUAGAGACAUAGCAAUAGGCCAUUGAACAUCUGCUAUAUUCCAUGUUAGAGGCAUGAUGACAUAGAGAUAGGCCUUUGAGACAUUCGACGUAUAUUCCAUGUUUUUAGACAUGAGGACUUGGUACUUGAGACAGAUUUUUCGCUUGCUUGCCAUUGUGCUCAUUCGCACAUUCUUGUGAGGGUCGCUCCCUACAAGCC